CUUGCACAGCAGGCUGCGGUGGUGUGACAAAUCAAAUUUCAUUUCGACCACACAGAUUCCUUUUUUUAUCUGAAACUAUUCUGUGAUCACUCGAUGGGGGAGGCUUCUUCAGAUGAUGAAUCCAAUCACAAAGCAUGAACCCCGCAAAACCCAAGCAACAUAGGACCUAACCGGAGCAGCAAGUGUCCUGAGUGCUGUGCUAGCCUGCACACAUGUGCAUGGUAUGGAAAAGCCACCUCCAGUCACCAACCUUCCCACCAGGAUGAACCAGGGGGAGCGGUCAUAGAAGGGGUCCUGGCCGUCGCUGAAGAUAUCCGACCCCUCCUCCGUGCCGGCGUCUGAGCUGGUGUCGUCGACAAACGCCUCGUCGUCGAUCAAGUCGGACAUCUCGCUCUGGCGCUCAUCCGCCAACUCAGUGAUUUCAGAGUCGGUGGUGGAGAAGGUGGGCGAGGGCGUGCGUUCGGUCAGAUGCUCAUUUACGCAACCGUGGAAGAUGGGGGAGCUGAGAGAUGAGUUGUACGGGAUCAUUGGCAUCAAGAAUAACCCAGUAACAAUGAAAGAAACUUUGACAGCCAAAUGUUAUGGCCAAGAGCUGAUUCAUAAAGGCCAUUUAAAUUUCCCACAAAAUGAAAUAUAAAUAAACAUGAAUACCAUACACAAAACUG